rnacentral:tRNA from 1 species
GGGCCCGUAGCUCAGUUGGUUAGAGCGCUACCUUGACACGGUAGAGGUCAGAGAUUCGAGUUCUCUCGGGCCCACCA